rnacentral:rRNA from 1 species
GACGAACGCUGGCGGCGUGCUUAACACAUGCAAGUCGAACGGAAAGGCCCUGCUUUUGUGGGGUGCUCGAGUGGCGAACGGGUGAGUAACACGUGAGUAACCUGCCCUUGACUUUGGGAUAACUUCAGGAAACUGGGGCUAAUACCGGAUAGGAGCUCCUGCUGCACGGUGGGGGUUGGAAAGUUUCGGCGGUUGGGGAUGGACUCGCGGCUUAUCAGCUUGUUGGUGGGGUAGUGGCUUACCAAGGCUUUGACGGGUAGCCGGCCUGAGAGGGUGACCGGCCACAUUGGGACUGAGAGACGGCCCAGAAUCCUACGGGAGGCAGUAGUGGGGAAUAUUGCACAAUGGGCGGAAGCCUGAUGCAGCAACGCCGCGUGCGGGAUGCCGGCCUUCGGGUUGUAAACCGAUUUCGCCUGUGACGAAGCGUGAGUGACGGUAAUGGGUAAAGAAGCACCGGCUAACUACGUG